rnacentral:rRNA from 1 species
AAUCUUCCGCAAUGGACGCAAGUCUGACGGAGCAACGCCGCGUGAACGAUGAAGGCCUUCGGGUCGUAAAGUUCUGUUGUUAGGGAAGAACAAGUACCAUUCGAAUAGGGUCGUACCUUGACGGUCUCUAACCAGAAAUCCACGGCUCACUACUUUCCAGCAGCCGCGGUAAUACGCAGGUGGCAAGCGGUGUCCGGAAUUAUUGGGCGUAAAGCGCGCGCAGGCGGUCUUUUAAGUCUGAUGUGAAAGCCCCCGGCUCAACCGGGGAGGGUCAUUAGAAACUGGGAGACUUGAGUGCAGAAGAGGAGAGUGGAAUUCCAUGUGUAGCGGUGAAAUGCGUAGAGAUAUGGAGGAACACCAGUGGCGAAGGCGACUCUCUGGUCUGUAACUGACGCUGAGGCGCGAAAGCGUGGGGAGCAAAC